rnacentral:rRNA from 3 species
UACGUUGUCUGCUAUACGCA